UCGUUGGGGAAAACUAGUGUACCGAUCGUCACGUUGCGAUUUUUCUUCACUUUCCCAUUUUGCCCUCCCUCUCGCUCUCUCGCCGACCGCUUGCAGCUCUCACUCUCUCCCUGACCACUCGCUCUCUCUCCCCGACAGCUCUCGCUGUCUCCGACCCCGACCGCUCGCCCUCUCGUCGGCCAGUCGCUCGCCGGCCAGUCGCCACCCUCUCCCUCUCGUCGGUGUCUUCCUCACCGCAGUCUUGCACCUCACCACCCAUAACCCUAGCAGCCCGCCUCCCUCUCGUCGGUGAAAGGUGACAUUUUUACCAGUUGGGGUGCUCGAUUCGUGGCGGCGGUGCUCGAUCCGUGGGCGGCGGUACUCGAUCCGUGCUGGAGCAGCGGGAGGAGGAGGCCAAGGUGGAGAUCGUGGUGCGGGAGGGGGAGCUCGGCGAGACGGCGGCUGGAUCUGAAGCGCGGCUGCUCCACCUUCCUCAGGGUGGCGGGGAUCUCCGACUCGCUGCAGAGGAGAAGGGCCCGACCGCUGGCGUCAUCCGCCGCUUCCUCAGGGUUGGCGGCGGCGGGCUGUGUUCCGGCGGGAGGGCGGCACGUUCAAGGUGCUGCAGGUGGCGGACAUGCACUACGCGGACGGGCGGAGCACCGCGUGCGAGGACGUGAUGCCCGAGCAGGUCGCCGGCUGCUCCGACCUCAACAUCACCGCCUUCCUCUACCGCGUCAUCCGCACCGAGGACCCCGACCUCGUCAUCUUCACGGAAGUGCCAUGCAAUGGUGGAGUAAUCCCCAAAGAAAUAAGAAAUCAGAAGCAUGAGCUGCACUGAAAUUGGGUCUAGGUAGUUGCUCAUCCGCCGGGGUUUCAGUUAAUCGAUUGGUCUGUCCAUCCAGGACGAAGAUGAAAUGGUCUGAUUGAUCACGACUGCCUCCACAUGGAGGUAAAACACAAACAGGAAAGAUGCAAUAGUAGCCGCCUUUGUGAUUAUCUUCAGGUUACUGUCCUGUUUUCGUCGUCUUGUUUCACGGGCGAUCUUGGUGAUCUUUCCAAGGCUGAUCAAUUUCUUCAGAGAAGACGUCCUGGUCAAUCACCACAUCUGAUCAAUUUCUGUCUGUGGCGAGAAGAAGUGGUACAACUCCGGCGAUCAAUUUCUUUGGCGAUUAACAGUUUUGAUCAAUUCAAACAGCAGCACAGGCGGCGCACGGGCGGGGAGGAGCACAGGCUGCUGCUGUUGGUCAGUGCGGGAAGGAGCACGGGCAGAGGUCAAUUGGCCGGAUCCGGAGCUCCAAUGCCUGAAUCGAGGAGCUGGAAGGCUGAGGCAGGAGGAGGAGCACAGGCUGCGAUGCUGCUGCUGUUGGUCAGUGCGGGGAGGAGCACGGACGGAGGUCAAUUGGCCGGAUCCGGAGCUCCAGUGCCUGAAUCGAGGAGCUGGAAGGCUCAGGCAGGAGGAGGAGCACGGGCGGCGCUGCUGCUGGUCGGUGCAGGGAGGAGCACGGGUGGCGCGGAGGCCAGGAGUCGCGGGCGGCUGGAGGCUGUGGCGGACGGCGAGGGAGUUGCGUAUGAGUUUGGGCUCUCAAUUGGAGCGGAGGAAGGCGGCCGGCGAGGGAGCUGCGGGCGGAUGCCGGAGCUGCAGCAGUGGGGUGGAGCCUGGCGGAGGGGAGGAGCGAUGGAGGAAGACGAAGAUCCCCGGCGACAAGAAUUUCAAAUUGAGGGUAGUUUGGUACUUUUUCCUGUUUUCACCUGGUCGGAGAAGUUCCCCAACGACAACUAUUUUGGAACAGAGGGAGUAUAUGUUUCUAUAGAGUACUUCGUUUUUGUACUAUACGCUUGACAAAAUGAUUUCCUUAUAAGCUGCGAUAAGGUGUUUGUAGUUGGUAUUUGUACUACAAGCUCAAUUUUGUGGUUCAUCUCAUCUCUGGUUAUUUUUUUUAUUUAUGUAGCAUAUUAUCAUUAGCUUAUAACUUUGGCAGAGAAGACUAUGUUAUAACACUAAGAUUAUCAGGAAAAGAUUCAGAGCUUUUGCUGAACCCAGAU
rnacentral:rRNA from 1 species